CGACGGAGUGAACUCUCCCAUAUCAAAUAUGAUGGGGGUGAAGGCUGAGAAAAUUUUCACCAUCAGUGUGAUAAGAGGCUUCACGAGUUAUCCAAAUGGGCAUGAACUCGGCUCUCAGUUCAGAUUAACCAAAAAAAAUGAUACUCAGGUGGGACAGCUGCCAAUGACCAAAAACCUAGUUUAUUGGUUCAUCACUCGGAA
rnacentral:lncRNA from 1 species